GUGUUCAUUUGGCUUCUCUUCCCCUAUAAGCCGUUUUGUUUCAAGACUCUUUCUUCCUUUAUUUGCAGCUAAUAGUGUAACAUCGAGAUUCCUUACAAACAACUCAUAUUACGUCCAUCUGAGAAAAUAACAUUUUUUAGGCUGUCAAAAUUUACAUUACUUUAGGUAAUGGCAAACUUUAGGUUCCGAAGAUCUUUAUGUUUUUACAAGGUAAAUAAUUAUAUUAAUAAUGAGAGAAUCUCCCAUCUAUAUGUAAUCUACCAAAAAGUGGAAAAUUCACAACAAAACAAUUUAGUUGAAGGAAUUUGUCUUUCUCUAUUUUUUAUAACUUCACCAAGGGCUAGUGGCGCAUGGCGCACGGUUCGAAGCUCAGUGGAUCAUCCUUUACCCUUCUCCACUUAGAUACCAAGCCUUUGCCUGUAACAGAUACGAACCCGUGACAUGCAUCUAACCCGCACAACAUGUGUUGCGCUUUUACCCCUAGAUCAAAGCUUUUCGAGUUCUUGGAGGAACUUGUUAUUAUGCAUAUUUUAACUAUCAUAUUUUAGCUGUACUCGUUAAAGCCUCUUUGAUUAAAAAGUGAAUUUUCUUUACAUCCAUAGUUAUGUUCUAAGUAAUUUGGCUCAAAAAUCGUUUCCGAACAAAAUAUAAUAUAAUAAACUGAUUUUCUAAAAUCUGAUCAAGAGUGUCAAGACAGUGUGUUUUCACUACUCUUGGUUUGAUUUUGAACAAAAUAUAAUAUACUAAACUGAUUUUCUAAAAUCUGAUCAAGAGUGUCAACCCUACCAAGACAGUGUGUUUUCACUACUCUUGGUUUGAUUUUUGUUUUAAAAUUUGAAGCCAUUAUGAUUGGUUUGGACUUGGUCUUAGACACAAACUGGGCCACCUGAAAUAUGCACACCAUAAAGUAAGCAAGCAACAUCAGAUUCAUCAUUUCAUAUCAUGGCAAUGAUCAUAUCACCAUCAAUCUUAUCAUCUCCAGAGUACAUUUUUUAUUAGUAUAUAUUUUUUUAUGAGAAAGGUAAUAAUUUUUCAAUCAUAUAAUUCCCACCCUAUUAAUGAAACUAAGUGAAAAUUCAUGUUCUUAAUUUUUUAUUAAUAUAUUUUUUUUUAUGAGAAAGGUAAUAAUUUUUCAAUCAUAUAAUUCCCACCCUAUUAAUGAAUCUAAGUGAAAAUUCAUGUUCUUUGCUAGGUCAGAAGAACUCUGUUUUCCACAAAGUGCACAAACUAGAAUCAGAAAGGCAGAUAAGUAGAUAGCCAGAUGCACUGUCAGUCUGCACACCCGUACACAGAACUUUAUCUUUCUGAAUCUGUUAUAUUGAACAAUGACAUACAAAAGGGAAAAAGGGAAACAUUGAACAGCAGAAGAAAAAGAGGUGUGUCCAAAUAAUACCAAAGUUCAAUUUAAGAUAAACAACAGUAUUGAGAACCACAGCAUCUGUAAAGAGAAGAAGAUGAUACCCCUCUCAGAAACCAAAGGAACAAGUUGUAAUAACUUGAUGAUUUAAUUUUAGAUUGUCUUCAAGUAUUAAUACCCAAGUUGACGCAUUGGACAACAUUUUACUUAUCAAGAAACAGAAACAGGUCACCCAAAAAAAUGCAACGAACAAUAUUUUCAAAAUUAACAAGAAGCUUACUUCAGUGAUAUUCACCUAAUCUUAGUACAGAAUAAAGCAAUAUAGCAACAGAACCUACCAUUGCAAGUUGUUCAGCCAUAUGGUGGUUGACUUCCUCAAAGCUGUAAUUUC
rnacentral:lncRNA from 1 species